rnacentral:rRNA from 1 species
UACGUAGGGUGCAAGCGUUGUCCGGAAUUAUUGGGCGUAAAGAGCUCGUAGGCGGUUUGUCGCGUCGAAUGUGAAAUCCCGAGGCUCAACCUCGGGUCUGCAGUCGAUACGAGCAAACUAGAGUGUUGCAGGGGAGACUGGAAUUCCUGGUGUAGCGGUGAAAUGCGUAGAUAUCUGGAGGAACACCGGUGGCGAAGGCGGCGUUCUGGACUGCAACUGACACUGAGGAACGAAAGCCAGGGGAGCAAAACGGG